rnacentral:tRNA from 1 species
GGAGGGUUGGCCGAGUGGUCUAAGGCGGCAGACUUAAGAUCUGUUGG